rnacentral:misc_RNA from 1 species
CAUUCAGUAGCUUGCUACUGUUAGGGGGGUCUAUCAGCCUGUAUAGUAUCACUACUGAUGAGCAGCACGACUCUCUGUCUGUACCCUUGUCUUUUGCGCACUCAUGUUUCCUCGGCGGGUCUACACCCGCCGGCUGGACAACUCUAUAACCUUUUUAAUUUUCAAUCAGCGUCUGAAAAACCUAAUAAUUA